AGAAAUAGGGGUGGCAAGAAACAAAGAAACAGGAGACCACAAAAAGAAGAAGAACAAGAAGAUGAAGCAAGAGGAGGAGAUGUAGGAUCUCAUGUGAAUGAAGUUGAUACUGGCGUCGAGAUAAAUAGUGCAAAAAAUGAUAGUUCAGUUUGCCAGGGGCUGUCAUCCCAGUCUCCAGCAGAAACUGCAAAUGAUCACAAAGGAGAUGAUGUUUCUUCAGGAAACAGUGAAAAAGUUCCCAGCCAAGAUACAAACAAGAAAACUACCACAAAGAAAGACAAAAACAACAAAUCAAAAGAUACAACCAAAGAUGCACCCAAAGGAAGGAAACAAAAGGGAAAAUCGAAAUCUUCUAGCAACUUGUGUGAUACAUGUGGGGAAGAAUUCGAUUCCAGGAAUCAAUUACACAAGCAUCUAGGAUCAACAGGGCAUGCUAAACUAAAAUCGCGGUGAUAUUGCUCAAGUUGAUGGCUGGAUUGUUGGGGUGG
rnacentral:misc_RNA from 1 species